rnacentral:rRNA from 2 species
UUAUGCUGAUAAGAGCGUAUGGUGGAUGCCUUGGCACUAAGAGCCGAUGAAAGACGUGAUAAGCUGCGAAAAGCUUCGGGGAGGGGCAAAUACCCAUUGAUCCGGAGAUUUCUGAAUGGGGAAACCUACCUGAGCAAACCUCAGGUAUCCUGACGCCAAUCCAUAACGUCAGGAAGGGAACCCGGUGAACUGAAACAUCUAAGUAGCCGGAGGAAGAGAAAACAACAUGUGAUUCUGUGAGUAGCGGCGAGCGAAAACGGAAGAGCCCAAACCAGUGUGCGUGCAUGCUGGGGUUCGGACCGCGGAAUUGAUUCAACAAGUUUAGCAGAACGGUUUUGGGAAAGCCGGCCAGAGAGGGUGAAAGCCCCGUAAGCGAAAGACGAGUUGACAUGGCGGGAUCCAGAGUACCACGAGACACGUGGAACCUUGUGGGAAUAUGCGGGGACCACCCCGUAAGGCUAAAUACUACUUAGUGACCGAUAGUGCAUAGUACUGUGAAGGAAAGGUGAAAAGGACCCCGGGAGGGGAGUGAAAAAGAACCUGAAACCAUAUGUUUACAAGCUGUGGAAGAGCUUUAUAUGCUCAACCGCGUACUUUUUGUAGAACGGUCCGGCGAGUUACGCUGGCUGGCGAGGUUAAGCACUGAAGGUGUGGAGCCGAAGGGAAACCAAGUCUGAAUAGGGCGAAGAGUCAGUCGGAGUAGACCCGAAACCGGGUGAUCUAUCCAUGUCCAGGUUGAAGUUGCCGUAAAAGGCAAUGGAGGACCGAACCCACAUCCGUUGAAAAGGGUGGGGAUGAGGUGUGGAUAGGGGAGAAAUUCCAAUCGAACCCGGAGAUAGCUGGUUCUCCUCGAAAUAGCUUUAGGGCUAGCCUCAUACGAGUCUUGCGGAGGUAGAGCACUGAAUUCCUAAGGGGGCGUCAAAGCUUACUAAGGGAUAUCAAACUCCGAAUGCCGUGUAGAUGAUGUAUGGGAGUCAGACGAUCCGAGAUAAGUUGGGUGGUCAAAAGGGAAAGAGCCCAGACCAACAGCUAAGGCCCCAAAAUGUGUGUUAAGUGGAAAAGGAUGUGGGAUUUCGAAGACAACUAGGAUGUUGGCUCAGAAGCAGCCAUCCAUUCAAAGAGUGCGUAAUAGCUCACUAGUCGAGAGGUCCUGCGCCGAAAAUGUCCGGGGCUGAAACACACUGCCGAAGCUUUGGAAUUGAUGAAUUUCAAUUGGUAGAGGAGCAUUCUUAAAGAGACGAAGCAGUACCGGAAGGAGCUGUGGAUUUUUAAGAAGAGAGAAUGCCGGAAUGAGUAGCGAGAGGAAGGUGGGAAUCCUUCCGGCCGAAUAUCUAAGGUUUCCAGAGUAAAGCUGAUCUGCUCUGGGUAAGUCGGGGCCUAAGGCGAGGUCGAAAGACGUAGUCGAUGGAUAACAGGUUGAAAUUCCUGUACUAUCCUGUAACAGAACUGUGGGGACACAGGCAGAGAGCGUGAGCCGGGAAUGGAAAGACCGGUACAAGCGAGGUAGGAGAAGAGCUGGCAAAUCCGCUCUUCAAUCUGAAGACGUGAUGUGGACCGAAAAGAAGUAGGGAAGCACGUGAGCUGACUGUCAAGAAAAGCCGCUAUUGUUUGCAGGAUACCCGUACCGUAAACCGACACAGGUGGAUGAGGAGAGAAUCCUAAGGCCGACGGGAGAAGCAUUGUUAAGGAACUCGGCAAAAUGACUCCGUAACUUCGGGAGAAGGAGUGCCAGUAAGAUGGCCGCAGAGAAUUGGCCCAAGCAACUGUUUAGCAAAAACACAGGUCUAUGCAAAACCGAAAGGUGAGGUAUAUGGGCUGACGCCUGCCCGGUGCUGGAAAGGUUAAGGGGAGAGGUUAGCCGUAUGCGAAACUUUGAACUUAAAGCCCCAGUAAACGGCGGCCGUAACUAUAACGGUCCUAACGUAGCGAAAUUCCUUGUCCGGUAAGUUCCGACCCGCACGAAAGGCGUAAUGAUGUUGGGCACUGUCUCGACAGUGCAACCUCGUGAAAUUGAAAAUACCAAUGCAGAUGCUGGUUACCUGCGGCAGGACAGAAAGUACCUCCAUGGAUCCUUUAUUCCGACUUGAUACUGGGAAUUCCGGGAUUGUAUGUUCAGGAUAGGUGGGCAGGGCUUUAGAACUGGAUAC